AGCGAAUCCUCCACCACCACCACCACCGUGCUCGAAGCGCAUGCGCGAGACGUGAAGGGCGACGAGACCAAAACCGAAACGUCCGACGGCAGACGUGGUGGCGCUGCGAGCGCGCGAGACGUGAAGGGCGACGAAACCAAAACCGAAACGUCCGACGGCAGACGUGGUGGCGCUGCGAGCGCGCGAGACGUGAAGGGCGACGAGACCAAAACCGAAACAUCCGACGGCAGACGUGGUUGCGCUGCGAGCGCGCGCACGCGUGUGUGACGUAUGCUCCGCGGAGAGGGCGCCAGAUUCAGUUUUCUGUUUGCCUCUCGUCGGGUGCGGACGUCUGGCGCGUCGCUCGUAUCGUGACCGUUGAUGUGCUGGUGAACUCUUUAGUCAUGUAAAGAAGAUGGAGGGCGGUGUGUGUGCACACAGAUAUGCUUGGAUGUCGUCCCCAUGAUGACAGCGGUGCUGCCACCUGACGUGAUGCUUUCCGACCUGCCUGGUGUGACGCUUUGCAAAUGGCGGCGCCCAUGGGCUGAUGCUGUUACCGAACCUGGACUGACACAUUAAUGAAUUGAAUGUGUAUAGUAAUGACUUGAAUUAUUAAAUGAGUUUAGAAAGUGCA